UUUUGUUUAUAUUAAUAUUGUGGUUAAGAUUUAUUAUUGAGUUAUUGCACUUAAGUGCAGGAAAGUGUAACAUUUUAAGUUUCUCAUCUCUAUGUAUUGUCAUAUCUAUGGUCAUCUUCAUAUUGGAAAGGAAAAGGUAGUACUUUCCUUUCUGUUUUUGUCAGCCAUAAUGUAGACAUCAAAAUUUUUGUGCUCGUCACGUAUCCAUCGACAUCCAUGUCAAAAGUUGUGUAUUUACUACCGCAUUAGCGGUCCGGGAGUUGGCGACCUCUCGCUGCCCCAUGCCUGAGGUGUAUUCCAUAAGCUUCGCCCAUAACAUCUGGGCACCCCAGGGCUUGUCCCGUGGUUCUACGGCGAUGGGAGCCGCCAACAAAUAUCCCAGGAAAGUUUUCGACGACUAAAUCCUAAGCAUGCAGCAUGGGUAGUUAACCUGUUUCGGCCGCGCGUAUCUUCUUGCAAUCUCAUCGAAUAUUUCAUCAAACUACCCCUUUGGCUUCGAAAUCAUUUUAUUAUUGAACUAUAUUUUAAUACUUUCUGUAUCUUAAAUUUACAAUAAUUAUUUUGAAUAUGUAACUAAUUAAUAAUUUUUUGAAAAUGUAACUAAGUAAUAAUAAUUUUUUUUUGAAAGUGUAACUAAGUAAUAAUUUUUUUUGAAUAUGUAACUAAGCAAUCAUUUUGUGGGGCCCCAUUUUUGUUUUGACUGUACGAAUACUCAAUUAAUACUCUUUAUCGUGUUUUAAAUAAAUAUGUUUUGUUAUGGCUGACCCGAUA